rnacentral:rRNA from 1 species
ACGCUCGACACCUACUGGAGGCAGCAGUGGGGGAUAUUGCACAAUGGGGGAAACCCUGAUGCAGCGACGCCGCGUGAAGGAAGAAGGCCUUCGGGUUGUAAACUUCUGUCGUACGGGACGAUAAUGACGGUACCGUACAAGAAAGCCACGGCUAACUACGUGCUAGCAGCCGCGGUAAUCUGAGCGGGCUGGCAAGGC